GACGAAGGAUGCAAGCGUUAUCCGGAUUCAUUGGGUUUAAAGGGUGCGUAGGUGGGCAGGUAAGUCAGUGGUGAAAUCUCCGGGCUUAACCCGGAAACUGCCAUUGAUACUAUCAGUCUUGAAUACCGUGGAGGUAAGCGGAAUAUGUCAUGUAGCGGUGAAAUGCUUAGAUAUGACAUAGAACACCAAUUGCGAAGGCAGCUUACUACCCGAAUAUUGACACUGAGGCACGAAAGCGUGGGGAUCAAACAGG
rnacentral:rRNA from 1 species